GCCCACUUAGCUCAGCGGCCAGAGCAGCUGUUUUGUAAACAGCAGGUCGUCGGUUCAAAUCCGACAGUGGGCUCCA
rnacentral:tRNA from 2 species